GCUGGCGUAGCUCAGUGGUAGAGCAGCUGCCUUGUAAGCAGCAGGUCGUGGGUUCGAUCCCCACCGCCAGCUCCA
rnacentral:tRNA from 1 species